rnacentral:rRNA from 1 species
UACGUAGGGGGCAAGCGUUAUCCGGAUUUACUGGGUGUAAAGGGAGCGUAGACGGCGAUGCAAGCCAGAUGUGAAAGCCCGGGGCUCAACCCCGGGACUGCAUUUGGAACUGUGUGGCUGGAGUGUCGGAGAGGCAAGCGGAAUUCCUAGUGUAGCGGUGAAAUGCGUAGAUAUUAGGAGGAACACCAGUGGCGAAGGCGGCUUGCUGGACGAUGACUGACGUUGAGGCUCGAAAGCGUGGGGAGCAAACAGG